GACGAACGCUGGCGGCGUGCUUAACACAUGCAAGUCGAACGGAAAGGCCCUGCUUUUGUGGGGUGCUCGAGUGGCGAACGGGUGAGUAACACGUGAGUAACCUGCCCUUGACUUUGGGAUAACUUCAGGAAACUGGGGCUAAUACCGGAUAGGAGCUCCUGCUGCAUGCUGGGGGUUGGAAAGUUUCGGCGGGUGGGGAUGGACUCGCGGCUUAUCAGCUUGUUGGUGGGGUAGUGGCUUACCAAGGCUUUGACGGGUAGCCGGCCUGAGAGGGUGACCGGACACAUUGGGACUGAGAUACGGCCCAGACUCCUACGGGAGGCAGCAGUGGGGAAUAUUGCACAAUGGGCGGAAGCCUGAUGCAGCAACGCCGCGUGCGGGAUGACGGCCUUCGGGUUGUAAACCGCUUUCGCCUGUGACGAAGCGUGAGUGACGGUAAUGGGUAAAGAAGCACCGGCUAACUACGUG
rnacentral:rRNA from 1 species